AUAAAAUAAUGUGUGUAACUAGACCAAUGAACGAUAUCUGAAUAUAAAUGUGGUUAUCGUAUUACUGUUUGUUAUCAAAAAGCGAAAUUUUGAUUAUUUUGGUGAAAUACGGUAAUUUUGUUUGGCGCGAAUUGCUUCCCUCUAAUUUGGCGCUAUUAUUGGACAACGGGAAUUUCAAGGUCGCCAUUGCCGAGCAGCAUACUAAAUUGAUGAAUACGACCAUGUACAUGCAUAACAGACAUUGUGUCGAAUAUACAACGAUGAAGGUAGAGUUAUUACAUAAGAAAACAUAGAUUUCGAUAUAUUAGGCAGCCAAAUGUUAUCAGGAUCACGAAAAAUACAAAAAGGGGGGUUGUCUCAA
rnacentral:lncRNA from 1 species